rnacentral:misc_RNA from 1 species
UGAUAAAAUUGUUCCACGAUGGGUGUUUCAUGUGGGACAAAACCUGAUUCUGGAUUCAGAUUUGUAUCUUCUUCAUGUGGAGGAGCGUAAGAUCAUGGAUGGUGGCCCUGCCAAUUGGCAAAAGGCUUGUUUUGUGCCAACCAAGUCAGAUGCCCUUGUGGUCGGUUUCAGAAGAUGGUUGAACAAGUAUGCUGGUGGUCAAGUUGAUUGGA